UUAAGCUCUUUUGCGCCAAUGGUAGUUGGGGGCUUCCCCCUGCAAGAGUAGGACGUUGCCAGGCGAUUAUAUUGGAGGAUUAGCUCAGCUGGGAGAGCACCUGCCUUACAAGCAGGGGGUCGGCGGUUCGAACCCGUCAUCCUCCACCAUUUUAUAUUGCCGGCCUAGCUCAAUUGGUAGAGCAACUGACUUGUAAUCAGUAGGUUGGGGGUUCAAGUCCUCUGGCCGGCACUCUUAUUUAUAAUUAAAAGCUAUUGAUCUAUGGAUUGACACCAAUAGGUGCCAGUGGUAGGGGAGCGUUCUAAAUGCAGCGAAGUCAGACCGAGAGGACUGGUGGAGCGUUAUAAAAAGUUCUUUGAAAACUGAACAAAAGCCAAGCGAAUUAAAGAGAUACAAGGUAUCUAAACCGUGUGCCUACAACUAGUUGGAGCCCGUUAAUGGGUGACAGCGUGCCUUUUGUAGAAUGAACCGGCGAGUUACGAUGUCGUGCAAGGUUAAGCUGAAAAAGCGGAGCCGUAGCGAAAGCGAGUCUGAAUAGGGCGCAUGAGUACGCCGUCGUAGACCCGAAACCGUGUGAUCUACCCAUGUCCAGGGUGAAGUUCAGGUAACACUGAAUGGAGGCCCGAACCCACGCACGUUGAAAAGUGCGGGGAUGAGGUGUGGGUAGCGGAGAAAUUCCAAUCGAACCUGGAGAUAGCUGGUUCUCUCCGAAAUAGCUUUAGGGCUAGCCUCAAGAUGAGAGUAUUGGAGGUAGAGCACUGAUUGGACUAGGGGCCCCCAACGGGUUACCGAAUUCAGUCAAACUCCGAAUGCCAAAUACUUAUUCUUGGGAGUCAGACUGCGAGUGAUAAGAUCCGUAGUCGAAAGGGAAACAGCCCAGACCACCAGCUAAGGUCCCAAAGUAUACGUUAAGUGGAAAAGGAUGUGGAGUUGCUUAGACAACCAGGAUGUUGGCUCAGAAGCAGCCAUCAUUUAAAGAGUGCGUAAUAGCUCACUGGUCGAGUGACUCCGCGCCGAAAAUGUACCGGGGCUAAACGUAUCACCGAAGCUGUGGAUUGACACCGUAUGGUGUCGAUGGUAGGAGAGCGUUCUAAGGGCGUUGAAGUCAGACCGGAAGGACUGGUGGAGCGCUUAGAAGUGAGAAUGCCGGUAUGAGUAGCGAAAGAAGGGUGAGAAUCCCUUCCACCGAAUGCCUAAGGUUUCCUGAGGAAGGCUCGUCCGCUCAGGGUUAGUCGGGACCUAAGCCGAGGCCGAAAGGCGUAGGCGAUGGACAACAGGUUGAUAUUCCUGUACCACCUAUACAUCGUUUGAACGAUGGGGGGACGCAGAAGGAUAGGGUAAGCGCGCUGUUGGAUAUGCGCGUCCAAGCAGUUAGGCCGGAAACGAGGCAAAUCCCGUUUCCAUUAAGGCGGAGCUGUGAUGGCGAGGGAAAUAUAGUACCGAAGUUCCUGAUUCCACGCUGCCAAGAAAAGCCUCUAGUGAGAUGUAAGGUGCCCGUACCGCAAACCGACACAGGUAGGCGAGGAGAGAAUCCUAAGGUGUGCGAGAGAACUCUCGUUAAGGAACUCGGCAAAAUGACCCCGUAACUUCGGGAGAAGGGGUGCUUUUUAGGGUGAAUAGCCCAGAAAAGCCGCAGUGAAUAGGCCCAGGCGACUGUUUAGCAAAAACACAGGUCUCUGCGAAGCCGCAAGGCGAAGUAUAGGGGCUGACACCUGCCCGGUGCUGGAAGGUUAAGGGGAGAGGUUAGCGCAAGCGAAGCUUUGAACCGAAGCCCCAGUAAACGGCGGCCGUAACUAUAACGGUCCUAAGGUAGCGAAAUUCCUUGUCGGGUAAGUUCCG
rnacentral:rRNA from 1 species